GAUGAACGCUGGCGGCGUGCCUAAUACAUGCAAGUCGAGCGAACGGACGAGAAGCUUGCUUCUCUGAUGUUAGCGGUGGACGGGUGAGUAACACGUGGAUAACCUACCUAUAAGACUGGGAUAACUUCGGGAAACCGGAGCUAAUACUGGAUAAUAUUUUGAACCGCAUGGUUCAAAAGUGAAAGACGGUCUUGCUGUCACUUAUAGAUGGAUCCGCGCUGCAUUAGCUAGUUGGUAAGGUAACGGCUUACCAAGGCAACGAUGCAUAGCCGACCUGAGAGGGUGAUCGGCCACACUGGAACUGAGACACGGUCCAGACUCCUACGGGAGGCAGCAGUAGGGAAUCUUCCGCAAUGGGCGAAAGCCUGACGGAGCAACGCCGCGUGAGUGAUGAAGGUCUUCGGAUCGUAAAACUCUGUUAUGAGGGAAGAACAUAUGUGUAAGUAACUGUGCACAUCUUGACGGUACCUAAUCAGAAAGCCACGGCUAACUACGUG
rnacentral:rRNA from 1 species